rnacentral:sRNA from 1 species
GCUGUACCGGUUAGAUUGGGAUACUCAUCAAUAAUUACAGAAAUACCGAGAUAAGCCAACUUGCUGUAUGGCGUGCCGGUAUGCGUAGCACAUACGUAGGGCCGGAUUACAGAAAGCAAGUGGUCCUCAAAUCCUUUUUCGCUCGGAGUUUCAUCACAUCACGGUACAGCCAUUU